UAACUUUUGGUGUAAAGCACGAAAAAUUUUGAUUUUUUAGGAAAUAAAUGAAAUUAUUAAAGUUAA
rnacentral:tRNA from 1 species